CAUAAUCAGUAAGAUCAAGUUCUGAGUCAAAUAUUUGGUCAUUUAACCAAGUUUCAGUAAAUAUAAUUAUAUCAUAACAAACUCCCUGCGAAUUGUUUCUAAUAACACGAAGUUUAGUGCGCAAUCCACGACAAUUUUGAUAAAA
rnacentral:lncRNA from 1 species